AUGAAGGUUGCCAAAGAAGCCAGUGCGCUUCUCUCGUAUGACCCGAACCUGAGGGAGGCAUUGUGGCCAUUCCUUGAGGAGGCUCGCACUAAGAUCUUGAGCAUCUGGGACCAGGCAGACAUUGUCAAGGUCAUCGAGGUCGAGCUCAAGGACACAAUGGCAGCAGCAGCAGCAAGGAAAGGAAUUCAAGGCCAUGGGAGCUGCUUCUAG
rnacentral:rRNA from 1 species